CGACCGGGUGAGUAACACGUGACUAACCUAACCUUCAAAGUGGGGGAUAACCUCGGGAAACCGGGGCUAAUACCGCAUAAUAUCUUUGUGCUGAGAAAGCAGAGAUCAAAGGAGCAAUUCGCUGGAAGAGGGGGUCGCGGCUGAUUAGCUAGUUGGUGGGGUAAUGGCCCACCAAGGCUUUGAUCGGUAGCCGGCCUGAGAGGGCGCACGGCCACACUGGAACUGAAACACGGUCCAG
rnacentral:rRNA from 1 species